rnacentral:rRNA from 1 species
GAUGAACGCUGGCGGCGUGCCUAAUACAUGCAAGUCGAGCGAACAGACGAGGAGCUUGCUCCUCUGACGUUAGCGGCGGACGGGUGAGUAACACGUGGAUAACCUACCUAUAAGACUGGGAUAACUUCGGGAAACCGGAGCUAAUACCGGAUAACAUGUUGAACCGCAUGGUUCAACAGUGAAAGACGGUCUUGCUGUCACUUAUAGAUGGAUCCGCGCCGCAUUAGCUAGUUGGUAAGGUAACGGCUUACCAAGGCAACGAUGCGUAGCCGACCUGAGAGGGUGAUCGGCCACACUGGAACUGAGACACGGUCCAGACUCCUACGGGAGGCAGCAGUAGGGAAUCUUCCGCAAUGGGCGAAAGCCUGACGGAGCAACGCCGCGUGAGUGAAGAAGGUGUUCGGAUCGUAAAACUCUGUUAUUAGGGAAGAACAAAUGUGUAAGUAACUAUGCACGUCUUGACGGUACCUAAUCAGAAAGCCACGGCUAACUACGUG